rnacentral:rRNA from 2 species
UACGUAGGGACCGAGCGUUGUCCGGAUUCAUUGGGCGUAAAGAGCUCGUAGGCGGCCACUCAAGUCGAAUGUGAAACCUCGAGGCUCAACCUCGAGCCUGCAUUCGAUACUGGGCGGCUAGAGUCUGGUAGGGGGAUCUGGAAUUCCUGGUGUAGCGGUGGAAUGCGCAGAUAUCAGGAGGAACACCGGUGGCGAAGGCGGGAUCCUGGGCCAGUACUGACGCUGAGGAGCGAAAGCGUGGGGAGCAAACAGG